rnacentral:rRNA from 1 species
AGUGAACGCUGGCGGCGUGCCUAAUACAUGCAAGUCGAACGGAGUGGCGCACGGGUGAGUAAUGUAUAGCUAAUCUGCCCUACACUAGAGGACAACAGUUGGAAACGGCUGCUAAUACUCUAUAGUGUAGGGUGAGGCUAUAUUGUAUCAGUUAGUUGGUGAGGUAAUGGCUCACCAAGGCUAUGACGCAUAACUGGUCUGAGAGGAUGAUCAGUAACACUGGAAGUGAGACACGGUCCAGACUCCUACGGGAAGGAGCAGUAGGGAAUAUUGGUCAAUGGGGGAGACCCAGAAGCAGCAACGCCGCGUGGAGGAUGACAUUUUUCGGAGCGUAAACUCCUUUUGUUAGGGGAACGGUACCUAACGAAUAAGCACCGGCUAACUCCGUGCCAGCAGCCGCGGUAAUUC